AUGCCGUGUGCAGCUCGUUGUCUGGCCCUGUCUCCAGGGUGCCCUGCUCUAGGACGUCAGGCCCGGAAUCCCAGGAAGCAGGGGAGGAGAGGGAGGUACCUCUUCAUUCCAGGCCCAGGAUACAGCCCAGCUCUGCCGUGGUUGCGCACAGUGACGAUCUAUCUCUGCCUCUCAGGCCAGGAACAUGUUUUCAACGAGACCCACAAAGCGCAGUCACUGACCCUGUGCCCAGACACCUUGUGUAGAUCCGUGCUUAGCAAACUCAGAAGGCCCUGUCACCAGCAGGAAGGAAGAGACCCCACGACUGAGGGCAGUGGGCUAUGAGAUUUGUGACCCUUUCCUCUGCCUGCCUCUGCCCCUGCCCCUUGGGACCCUGCUGGACCAGGCAUCCAUCCUAUGGAACUUUCCAUGAAGCGUUGACCUCCCUGCCCCUGAGGCAUUGGGUGAGUGGCAGGUGAGAGCUGCUCACAGGGCAUUAAAGGGGUUCAAAAUAGCACCCAAGGCCGGGCAUGGUAGUUUACACCUGUAAUCCCAGUACUUUGGGAGGCUGAGGCGGGCAGAUCACCUAAGGUCAGGAGCUCGAGAGCAGCCUGGCCAACAUGGAAAAACCCCUUUUCUACUAAAAAUACAAAAAAUCUCCGGGCAUGGUGGUGUAGGCACCUGUAAUCCCAGCUACUUGGGAGGCUGAGGCAGGAGAAUCGCUUGAACCCGGGAGGCAGAAGUUACAGUGAGCAAGAUCGCACUAUUGCACUCCAGCCUGGGCAAAAAGAGCGAGACUCCAUCUCAAAAAAAAAAAAAAAAAAAAAAAAUUGCACCUAAGCCCAAGCCCAGAAGGUGGCCCUGAAACUGGGCCUUCCUUUGAAGCUAGGCCUGGUAUUUGCCACGAUUAUGCCUCCUUCCCCACGUCACCAACGUUGACUGCCCUCCAUUACCCGGUGCUGCCUGGGCGCUGCGUGUGUGCUGGCGUGUGAAAUGGCAACGUGAGGCCGUGUCUACUGAGCCAGGCAUCUUAGUGCUUUACACAGAGAAAUGAAACCUCCUAGCUACGCUGUGAGUUAGGGACCAUUGAUUCCCAUUUUUCAGAUAAGGAAACAACCAAGGCACGGAGUGGUUGGUAGGUGGACUAAGGUCACCCAACAGCUGGAGGCAAAAGGAGACACGUGUCUCCACCAGGAGCCACCAGCUGUCCCCUCCUUCUCCAUCCCACAGAUUGAGUGAAGGCUUGGGCUACUCCGGCUGGACAGUAUCAAGUGUUAUAUUCUGUAGAGCCAGGAUGUUCCUCCAAUCCUUUAAUCCCAAAUAUUUUGUUUUGUUUUGUUUUGUUUUGUUUUGCGGCAGAGUCUUGCUCUGUCAUCCAGGCUGGAGUACAGUGGUGCAAUCUCAGCUCACUGCAACCUCUGCCUCCCGGGUUCAAGUGAUUCUCCUGCCUCAGCCUCCUGAGUAGCUGGGACUACAGAUGUGCGCCACCACACCCAGCUAAUUUUUGUAUUUUUUGUUGAGACGGGGUUUUACCAUAUUGGCCAGGCUGGUCAUGAACUCCUGACCUCGAGUGAUCUGCCCGCCUCAGCCUCCCAAAGGGCUGGGAUUACAGGCAUGAGCCACCACACCUGGCCUAAUCCCAAAUUUUAAACCUGCUUCUUGUUCUGCCUCUAGUGAAAUCAAAGAUCCCUCUGCUGCUGUCCCUAUGGGAAUGUGGACAGGGAUGACACUUCUCGCCAGCUCUGGGUGGCCCCUCUGGUCCUGCCCUUCACUGUCCAGCUCCUCAAGUCCUCCUCAAUUCCCCUCUUCUCCAGCCCUACUGCCACUGUCCCCACCUGAGUACAGACCUUCAUAAUUUCCCACUGGCCCCCCCCCUCUGGUCCCCCCAGUCCCUCUCCUAGUCCAUUUAUUUAUUUAUUUAUUUAAUUUUAUUUUGAGAUGGAGUUUCACUCUUGUUGCCCAGGCUGGGGUGCAAUGGUGCGAUCUCAGCUCACUGCAACCUCCGACUCCCAGGUUCAAGUGAUUUUCCUGUCUCAGCCUCCCGAGUAGCUGGGAUUACAGGCAUGCACCACCACACCCAGCUAAUUUUGUAUUUUUAGUGGAGAUGGGGUUUCUCCAUGUUGGUCAGGCUGGUGUUGAACUCCCAACCUCAGGUGACCCGCCCGCCUCAGCCUCCCAAAGUGCUGGGAUUAUAGGCGUGAGCCACUGCACCCGGCCCCUAGUCCAUUUUUAUACACAGCUCUGAGGAUGCUCCAAUCUGACGACAGCAUCUGCUCACUUAGCGCCCUGCCCCGGCGUCUCAUCGCCUUGGGGAUAAAAUCCACACUCUGAGAGUCAGUGCAAAGUUCUUGGCGUGGCCGCUGCCCUCUCCAUUUCCCCAGGCCUUGCUCUACCGCACAAGUCCCUCUCUCAGUGCCUCCCGAAGGCCAGCUCCCUGGCAGGGCUGAUGGUGAUAAAGUGUUCAGUAGUCAGCAAUAAAGAGGGAAAAACAGCAAUACUGAUUCAUAGAUACGAAAUCAACCAGAUGUAUCAGCCAAGUUGCCAGCACUCCUUUCUUGGUCACAGUAUCUUUUAUUCCAAACGUCCUUUCUAUUUAUUUUUUGUAGUUGAGAUAUUAUUCCUUCUUUUGUAAAAUGGUGGUGAGAACAAAGGACUAUUUUUUUAAAUGUCCUUACUUGGCAAACUAAAAAAUGUUUGCAGCUCUAGUAAGACUCCAUUUUCAUCUUGACAACUCAGUGGUGUGCGGGGGCUGGCCCACAGGCGGCCACACAGAUGUGGCUCCCUGGGCCGUUUACUCUUCUGCCAGAAAUGCGCCCCCGACCCAUGGCUUGCUCAUUCCCCACCAUCCUUCAAUGCAGGUCUUCCCUGACGUUUUUUUUUUAAGAGGGAGUUUCGCUCUUUUUGCCCAAGCUGGAGUGCAGUAGUGCAACCUCAGCUCACUGCAACCUCUGCCUCCUGGGUUCAAGCAAUUCUCAUGCCAGUGUCCGGAGUAGCUGGGAUUACAGACACGUGCCACCAUGCCUGGCUAAUUUUUUGUAUUUUUAGUAGAGACAAGGGUUCACCAUGUUGGCCAGGCUGGCCUCGAACUUCUGACCUCAGGUGAUCUACCUGCCUCCGCCUCCCACACUGCUGGGAUUACAGGUGUGAGCCACCAUGUCCGGCCUUCCCUGACCUUUCUUCCCCCAAAGCCCAUCCUUGCAUGAGUGCAUCAUCCAGAACUCAGCACUGCGUCCAUUUGCACAUCUGCCUCCCCGUGGACCUCGGCUGGUGGAAACCAGGCCCCCUCACAUUUCCUUUUCCAGAGCCCAGCCCAGCCCUGCCCUGACUGCCCAUACACAGAGCAGGUUUGCAAAAUGCCUGACAGAGAAUGAAUGACUCCAGCUUCCUUCUCAGCAGCAGGUGGAGGUGGGGGGUUGGGGCACCCAGCCCUCUGCUGGCUUCACCUGUCCGUGCCCGUGCAGUUGAACUGGGCUCUCCAGGACUGCCUGCCUGCUGGGCCUCAGCACCACCAAGGGCUUCAAGGGCCCCAGCUGGGUGCCAUGGACCCCUCUCCAAUUCCACUAGGAGAUCAGGGGCUGGGGUGCCUCAUCUGGCCCUAAAGCCCCAUGGCACUGACCUGGUGCCUGUGUGAUUCUUCCUCACUGUUCCCAGACAGGGGCCAGGAAAUGGAAUGAAAGCAGCCAGUCUCUGAAGAGCUGGAGACCAUCAUCUGCCUCGGGAAGCCCAGGGAACCUCGGCUCAGACAGGACAGAGACUGUGGGAAGGGAGGAGACUGUGACAGAGAAGCAGAGGAGGGUGACAGAGUCAGGGAAGAACAAAACAGCCUGCAGUGGGAGCAGAGACAAAAAUGUGGGGGACCCACAGGGAGGGGA
rnacentral:lncRNA from 1 species